rnacentral:rRNA from 1 species
AUUGAACGCUGGCGGCAUGCCUUACACAUGCAAGUCGAACGGUAACGGGCCUUCGGGUGCCGACGAGUGGCGCACGGGUGAGUAAUACAUCGGAACGUGCCCGAUCGUGGGGGAUAACGAGGCGAAAGCUUUGCUAAUACCGCAUACGAUCUACGCAUGAAAGCAGGGGACCGCAAGGCCUUGCGUGGACGGAGCGGCCGAUGGCAGAUUAGGUAGUUGGUGGGAUAAAAGCUUACCAAGCCGACGAUCUGUAGCUGGUCUGAGAGGAUGAUCAGCCACACUGGGACUGAGACACGGACCAGACUCCUACGGGAGGCAGCAGUGGGGAAUUUUGGACAAAGGGCGCAAGCCUGAUCCAGCCAUGCCGCGUGCAGGAUGAAGGCCUUCGGGUUGUAAACUGCUUUUGUACGGAACGAAAAGCCUUCUUUUAAUACAGGAGGGUCAUGACGGUACCGUAAGAAUAAGCACCGGCUAACUACGUG